UCAUUUUUGUGAAAAAAUGACCAUAUAAUUAAGUCUUUCCCAGCACAUUCUAUACAUUCAGAAAAUUCUAAAGCCUAUAUAUCAAGGAUGCAAAAAGUAUUUGGCUGAUGUAUAAAAUUUGACAAGUGAUGCUACAGUUACAUCAUAUGCGAUUAUUUAGAGCACUGCUGUAGUAAAAAAAAAAAAAAAGAAGUUGGGGAUGACAAAAGUGACACAGUAUGGAAGCAUGUUCAUAUGCACAUUGUUGGGAUUGAUAUUCAUCAUUUCUUGCGAGACAGUGCUGCAGCAACUCCACCAGCUAGGAGUCCAACAGCAGUAGCAGUGAUGCCUAUUCCAAUAACACCAUCUCUAGCAAUUCGAUCUUCAAUUGUCUUCUUGAGGACCAGAGCUUGCCUCCAAUCCGGUGCAACCUCCAAACAUUGAUCCACAAGUUGUCGGCUCCUUGAAAAUUCACCACUUCUGUAAUAUCCAACAGCCAGAAGAUAAACCUUCUCNNNNGGGGAGCUAACAUUGGCUAAUGAUGCUUCAAGCAUAGCAAUUCCACGCUGCACAUCUUCUGAUCGUUUGGAGUGAACGAGAGCCCAUGACCACCUCAUAAUGCUAUCACUCUUGAGUUCAUCUGAGUCACCUUUCGCAGCUUCCACAGCUUCUCUCUCGCAGCCAAGGAUGAUGUCAUGGUCGCACCAGGGGAUCUGAUCGCCGCCGGAGAAGAAGGAGCCAACGGAAUCGAAGAAGCCUCGGAUCUUUGCAUCCAUCGCUUUUGGUAUAUUGGAAGACUUGAAAGAAAAGCUUAUAUAUAUAUAUAGGUUUUGGUUGUGUUGAGUAUGCUUAGGCUAAGCUAAUGCCAAAGAAGGGCAAAGUUGAGGAAGGGAA
rnacentral:misc_RNA from 1 species